UCAUAAUAAUUAUAAUUAAUGUUCAUAAUACUUAAUAAUAUUCAUAAAAUUUAAAAUAAAUCCAUAAUAUUUAACAAUGUUCAUAAAAUUUAAAAUAAAUUCAUAAUCCUUAACAAUGGUCAUAAAAUUUAAAAUAAAUCUAUAAUACUUAACAAUGUUCAUAAAAUUUAAAACUAAUCUAUGAAUUUGUUGAACCAUCUGAUAUGGAAGUAGAAGCUGCAGUUGUGUUAUGCGGUGAAGAUCUUUUUUUGUUCUUCAAUGAUUUCAUCUGAUCUUUUAUUUGCUUUUCAAUCUGCACUCGCAUUUGCUCUUGCAUUUGCUCUUGCAUUUGCUCUUGCAUUUGCUUCAUGUCUUCUUUCAUUUUAAUCCGAUUUUGCUCUAACAUUUGUUCAACCUCCUCUAAAGAAAACAUAGUUUGAGAAGGUCCUCCAGGAUGAGCUGAUGUACAUGAGAAAGAGGUAGUUGGAGUUCCUGAUUUUGCAAUAUCAGAAGAUCCAAAACCAUAAAUCCUCCCUUUACUACUUCCAGAAAUUUCAAUCCACUUAUUCAAAUCAAAAGUAGACUGACUCUCACAAUUGUCAUUCACAUUCUCAGCAAUGGCACUCAAAUAAGCUCCCUAAGUGAAAAAAGAAAACAUAAUAAAUAUUUCAUUGACCAUACACAACUAAUGAUAACAUAACAAAUAAAAGAAUAAUGUGAUAACAAUAAAUAAGCAAAAAGUAACUUACAUCAACUCGUCGUGAUUUUCCAUCAAUGAAAACACCUUGACUCCCCUUUUUUGUGUGAGUGGCACGAAAUAGUUCAAG
rnacentral:lncRNA from 1 species